rnacentral:tRNA from 1 species
GGGGGGUAAAGACUUUUUGUCUAACUUAGCUUCUAACUAAGAAGAGGUAUUAAAUCUACCACCCUCUU